UAGUCCACGCCGUAAACGAUGGUUACUAGCUGUUUGGACUAAUUGAGGUCUAAGUGGCCAAGCGAAAGUGAUAAGUAACCCACCUGGGGAGUACGUUCGCAAGAAUGAAACUCAAAGGAAUUGACGGGGGCCCGCACAAGCGGUGGAACAUGUGGUUUAAUUCGAUGAUACGCGAGGAACCUUACCUGGACUUAAAUGUAGAUUGCAUAGCUUAGAGAUAGGCUUUUCUUCGGACUAUUUACAAGGUGCUGCAUGGUUGUCGUCAGCUCGUGCUGUGAGGUGUCGGGUUAAGUCCCAUAACGAGCGCAACCCCUAUCAUUAGUUACCAGCGAGUUAAGUCGGGGACUUUAAUGAAACUGCCCGUGUAAACGGUGAGGAAGGUGGGGACGACGUCAAGUCAUCACGGCCCUUACGUCUAGGGCUACACACGUGCUACAAUGGUAGGUACAGAGCGUUGCUGCUUGGUGACAAGUUUGCUAAUCGCUAAAGCCUAUCUCAGUUCGGAUUGGAGUCUGCAACUCGA
rnacentral:rRNA from 1 species